rnacentral:tRNA from 1 species
UCUAACGUGGCAGAUAAGUGCGGUGGAUUUAAGCUCCAUAAAUAAAGUCAUUAAACUUUCAUUAGAA